rnacentral:snoRNA from 1 species
AAUCCAUGCUGUGGACAUAGGUGAAGUAUCCCUUCAGACCUUUCCCACACUUCAUAACAGCAUUUUGAGUUCAAUUGAGUGAAAACAAUGAUUCCGUUUCUUAGCUU